UGCUACGAAACCGCAGCCAUCUAGUCAUUCGCCAGAGAAGGAUGAGAAACUGCACCCCAGCGAGAGGGACUGCCCCACAUCUGCAACCAAAUCCGUCGGUCACCGAAUUCAGUAAUCUCCGUCUCUUUGUGCAUUCUCUCUGACAAGCAUGUUCUCCUAUGGGACACAAGUACAUGAAGUGGAAUGAAGGAGCCCAUGUUUGAUGCUCGUCUCCAGGGUGGAGUAUUGAAUUUAUAAGUAAUGAAGUGGCAUCUGACACGUGACAAGCUGGUCCUGUUAGCACAGCGACUUCAACAUUGUGUUCUGUGAUCACGGCAUAGUUCAGAGAACAAGGUGAUCCUCUCAAUGUUACACUCCUUUACUGAUGGUUCCAGUGCCAGAGAAAAACCCACCACCAUUAACCUCGACUUGCU